GAUAAAGAACGCAGCGAAAUGCGAUACGUAAUGUGAAUUGCAGAAUUCAGUGAAUCAUCGAGUCUUUGAACGCACAUUGCGCCCUCUGGUAUUCCGGAGGGCAUGCCUGUCCGAGCGUCAUUGCUGCCCUCAAGCACGGCUUGUGUGUUGGGCCCCGCCCCCCGAUCCCGGGGGGCGGGCCCGAAAGGCAGCGGCGGCACCGCGUCCGGUCCUCGAGCGUAUGGGGCUUUGUCACCCGCUCUGUAGGCCCGGCCGGCGCCUGCCGAUCAACCAAACUUUUUUCCAGGUUGACCUCGGAUCAGGUAGGGAUACCCGCUGAACUUAAGCAUAUCAAUAAGCGGAGGA
rnacentral:misc_RNA from 1 species